AUGGCCCAAGUCAUCGUCCAGAGGUCAUGCAUGAAGCUCAGAUCCGCCAUGACCGGAGACAAGUUCACCAGCGAUCUGAAGGAGAUGGUGGUGGUGCUGGAAGGCGUACAGCCGCUGAUAGAGGCCGCCGAGAGGCAGUCGGUACCGGGCAGGCUGGCUUGGUACUGGCUGAGGCGGGUGAGGAAGACCGCCUACGAUAUCUUCGAUAUGGUCGAGGAGCUGCGAGCCAACAGCCCGCCGCCUGCUGCAACGGUGAAGAUGCGGAUAGAAGUGAUUAAGAAAGAACUGGAGGAGAUACGGCUCGAGUCUUGUAUUUUCAAGCAGGCCAGGGAUUCCAGUAUCCAGCAAGCUAUUCAUGUGCCAGCUGAAGGAACAACAGCAGAUUUUGAUGGAGCAAGGGAUGCAGAGAAACAGAUGGUGAUGGAUAAGCUAUCAGCUGCUAUGAGCGGCAUCACACAAUCAGGACAAGAGGUGCCCUUAAUUUUCCCCAUCUUUGGCCCCCCAGGCAUAGGCAAGACAACCAUGGCAAAACUGGUGUUCAGUGAUGACAAGUUUCGAGAACAUCUUCGCGCAUGGAUUGAUGUCUCGCAGGAAUUCAGCUUAUGUAAGAUAGGCAAGUCAAUAAUCUCUCAGGUAUCAAGCCCGAGAGUAGAAGAUAUAGGCCCUGGCGGUGGAGGUGCCUCAAGCAAUGAGACGGAAUGUAUGAGUAUGAGUAUGACGAAGCACCUUCAUCAGGAGCUUCUGCUUCACAGUGGCAGGAAAGACCUGCUUGUUGUCCUAGAUGACCAAUGGGAGGACGACCCCACUCAACUCGAGAGCCUAAGGCGUAUGCUUACUGUAGGUGACGAGCAGGGCAGCAUCAAGGUAACCGUCAUCGUAACAUGCGACCAAGGCAUCGCGAGGAAAUUCUGUACUACGGGCGUGGAGCCGUACAUGCUGAAUCCGCUGAGCCAACACAUGUGCUGGACAAUAAUCAAGCGAGAAAGCUGCUUCAAAGUUAGACACGGGCCAGAGAAAAAAGUGUGGGAGCAGAUAGGAAGGGAGAUCGCAAGCAAGUGCGGGGGUGUACCUUUGACAGCUCGAGUGCUUGGAGCUACGCUGCGGGGCAGAGAUGUUGCAGGAUGGAGAGAGGUGAGUAGGCAGCAGAGUGCUGUCAUGUAUGUUUCUCCAGCGGCCUUGGAGCUGGGCUUCAGACGCAUGCCGCCAAAUCUGAAGUUGUGCCUUGCCUAUGCGGCCAUCUUCGCAAAGGGCCACACCAUAGUCAAACAUGACCUCAUUCAUCAAUGGAUAGCGCUCCAUCUUAUUGACGGGCCACCGGACAAUGUCUCUACAGCAAAGCGUGCUGAAGAGUAUAUCAUGAGGCUUAUGGACAUAUCAUUCCUUCAGCCUGCAAAAUCUGCGUCGGCUAGUGGAAAGGAUGAGGAGGCAAAUGAUGUUAUGCCUCUCACGCAGGCCAGUGCCAAGGAUGGUAAAGGAGCAACCCUCUUCACUAUGCCUGACAACGUGCAUGACUUCGUGAAAUCAGUCAUGGGUGACGAACUGAUUGCUAAUGUUGGGUUACAUGACAUCAAUGAAUUUUGCCGCUAUGCACUGCUCACAGAUUUGGUCAUCAAAAGAUUGAAGUACAGUACAUUGCCUGCCCAGUUAAGGGCGCUACGCUGUGUGGGAUGUAGCAAAAUGGAGCUCAGUGAUGACACCUUCUCAUUUGCUAGGUGUCUGCGUGUGUUGGAACUAAAGGAGAGCUCCAUGCAGAAGCUACCUGAUUCCAUCUGUCAACUAAGGCACCUGGGGUAUCUGAAUUUAUCAGGCUGCUCUGGGCUGGUAACUCUGCCAGAGUCAUUUGGAGUUCUAUUAAAUCUUUUCCACGUCAAUCUAUCUGGCUGCUGUGGACUAUCCAAACUGCCGGAGUCAUUCAGAAGGCUCAAAAGAUUGGUGCAUCUGGACCUAUCCUUCUCGUCUUGCUUUCAAGGGAUCGAGGGAAUUCUUGGCGCUCUUAUAAAUAUCCAGCAUUUGAACUUGUCCAACCCUUCCUGCUACCUUCCUGAGCACCGGCCCCAUCUGCAGGGGCUAAAACUUGUCAUUUGCAAGCUCACAAAACUGGUGUAUUUGAACUUAUCAAUGUUCCUGAAUCCAAUCUUCUGCUAUAUGUCACAAGAGGAACAACGCGAAUACAUUGGGACAUGUAUCAGUGGCCUUUCUAGCCUGGAGCAUCUGGACUUGUCUCAUAACAUAUUUCUUCGUCAUCUGCCUGAAAAUCUUGAUGACCUCAACAAGCUGCAUACAUUGGACCUCUCGGGCUGCAUCAGGCUCUUUCCAAUGUUCAGUGUAAUCAAAAGAGCUGGUAUAUUGAACUCCCUCAGUUUGUUAGUUGUGCGGAAAUGCCGGAGUCUCUUUGUGGUCCUCACUGAUGAUGGAGCACACAACAACAACAACAACAACCUUGUUCAGCUAGAUGAUGGAGCACAUAACAACAACAACCUUGUUCAGCUGGAAGGUGGAGACUGCAAAGAGCUGGAGAUCGUCUGUCUUGAGAAGAUCAAGUCAGCAGAGGAAGCACGGAGAAUAAAAUUGGCAGACAAGGGGAGGCUACGGAUGCUGAAUAUGCAUUGGACGCUGGGUUGCCACGGAGCUGUGGAGCAGAGCAAUGAUAUCCUCGGAGAACUAGUGCCACCACAUAAUCUGCAACGCCUUGAGCUGCAUGGUUAUAUUGGCACAUGCUUUCCACCCUGGAUCUUAAGGAUGUCUUCUCACCUCCCUAAUCUCGUAGAGGUUACCAUGGAGGACAUCCCUAAUUGUCGUUUCCUGCCACCACUUGGUUCAUUACCGAAACUGAAACAUCUAGUGCUUAGAAGGAUGCCUGGCAUCAUAAGAAUCGACGCUGCUGAACAAGUCAGCGGUGACACGGAGGUGUUCCAUCAACUCUCCAAGUUUACGAUAGAUGACAUGCAAAGCUUACAAGAGUUGAACACCACAUGCAGCAUUGAUGAUGAUGAUGAUGAUGAUGAUGAUGAGUCUAUGCCUCAUAUUGAUGAACUGGUUAUCCGGAAAUGUUCCAAGUUGAGCUUUGGAACUCUCCUGCCUAGAGCACGGAGGUUGCAUAUAUCAGAUUGCGACCAGCUGAUGGUUACAGUGCUUGUGGAAUGCCCUUUUACUCCAAUAACUGAACUCGUGGUCGAAAGCUGUGAAGUGCCUAUUGAUGACUGGAGUUUGCUUUGCCAUCUCGAUGGCCUCCAGACAUUGUCUUUUUUUCAUUGCCACAACAUGACCGAGCUACCGAAUGACUUGGGUGGCCUUCUCUCUCUCCGGGAACUGAACAUCGUGUCAUGCAAAAACCUCAAGCAUAUACCCGAUAGCAUGCAACACCUCACCUCCCUUCAGUCAAUCCAUUUCUCUGACUGUGAGAGCAUCACAGGACUCCCAGAUUGGUUCAAACGCCUCACCUCUCUCCAGAUUCUUGUCAUCAGAAGAUGCCAUGCCAUUGAGUCUUUGCCGGUGGGCAUACAAGAACUCAGCAACCUCAAGGAUCCGCUUAUUUCUGACUGUCCAAAAUUGGAGCAGUGGCGUGAGUCUAAGGAGAAGGAAAAACUUGCUGACAACCGACCAGUUCACACGAGAAGUAUGAAGAGAAUGGUAGCUGAUGUACGUAACAAGGUAGGCCAAGCAAACACCGGAACGGACCAAUAA
rnacentral:rRNA from 1 species